rnacentral:rRNA from 1 species
UACGUAGGGGGCAAGCGUUGUCCGGAUUUAUUGGGCGUAAAGAGCGUGUAGGCGGCCGCACAGGUCCGUUGUGAAAACUGGAGGCUUAACCUUCAGACGUCGAUGGAAACCGUGCGGCUAGAGUCCGGAAGAGGAGAAUGGAAUUCCUGGUGUAGCGGUGAAAUGCGUAGAGAUCGGCAGGAACACCCAGGGGGAAACCAGCCGGCUGGGGACGUGCUGACGUUCAGGGGCGAAAGCGUGGGGAGCGAACCGG